GAUAGAAUUAGGGGAAGAGUUUCCCGUUUGGCCAAGGACAAGUCUUAGAGAGAGAAUGCAGCUAUGGGUUGUUUAGAACAAACAUUCACAGCAUCCAAGGGGAUGGAUGCAUUGGUCCUGGAUGGGUCACCUACAUCCAUUACACCACUUUCCCUAUACAACAUUUUGUUGUAUUUGAGUUUGAGUUGACUCUAUUCCCCUGGGAUUUGGGAGAGGGAGAAAUGGAGUGCAAUACUUGGACCUAUUUAAUAAGGUCAGAAAUUCCUGGCCAUGGUGAUUGCUUCAGGGAUGAACUUGUGACCCAAAAAAACCUAAUCAGCAUCCUCUCAAGGAUAUAUCUGCUGGACCUAACAAAAAAGAUUCUCCAGACAACAUAAGCCAGAACUUCUUGUGACCAUCUUUCUCAGCUUCAUUGAGAGAACCUGCCUGUAAUAGGAGAGGGGGUCAAUAAGCAAAGAAAGUCCAAGUCAAAAUGAAGCAGGGGAAUAGAAGCUUGAAAAUAUUGAUUGCACCUUUGGACUGAGCUGGACCAAGAUUUUCCAUUCUGUGAUGCAUCAAUUAGGAAUAUUUUUGUUGUAUGGAAUAGAAAGUAUGACUUAAGGAAUAAAACGAACUUGAGGAAUAAAAAAGGGUGAGAGGAGAAAUGGAGAGGGAGAGAGAGAGAGAAAAAAAACUAUAGGCUCACAUAACUGAAUGUGUGGCUAAAAACAGGGCCUGCAUGACAUCACCAUGAUCUAUCUCUUGGAUCUGCUUUCUUAGGACUGUCUCCAUGUUCAGGUUAAACAUGAAUCAAACAAUAAGCUGGGGGAGAGAUGCUCUGGCUUACUAAAAUCUACUUACCCUUUGGCAAUAGUUCCAUAAUUCCUGAAUACUCAUUACUGAGUUCUUUCUUUAGGAUGAAUUAUUUCCCAGUAUUACCAGUUUUCUUUGCCAGUUCUGACCUCAUGAUCACUUAUACACAACUCUUAGGAUAGGACUGCACCUCCCCAUCCUGCCCCAAUACCAUAAAAUACUUGUUCACUACUGCUUUCAUACUUUGCCCCCCGCUUCUCUAAAUUCUGAUACUAUCUUAUUUUAUUAUGCUUUUCUUUUGAUUCUCCCUUCUCAAAUGAGUUCUUAAACUUCUGCAGUGUGAUGCAGCCUUUAUUCCUUCUUCCCAAGGUAAUACACAUAAGCUGUUUAACAUAGUGCCUGACGUAUCGUGUGCUCAAUAAAUAGCGAUGAUGAUGAUGAUGAUGAUGAUGAUGGUGAUGAUGACAAUGAAGAUGAUGGCAAUGAUACAGCAUCACUUCCUCACAGGUUUGGGAAGAUUUGACCAAACCAAUACUUAAGACCCUGAGAUGCAAAGAAUCCAGAGGAAGAAUCCAAGGCCCCAGAGGAUGGCAAAGCCUCACUAUGAAAGGAACUGGUUUAGUGAACAAAUUAAUGAAACAGCUCUUUCCACCCUAAAGUGAUCAAUAUUGGACUGUAGCAUGAGCAAAACAUAAACUUUUACUGUGUUAAGCUAAUGAAAUUUUGGGGAUUAUUUAUUGGAGUAAUUAGCAUUACUUAUCUUGACCAAUACAAUGGGUUUGAUGGGACAAAUAAAGAGUAUGUUUAGCAAUCAA